GACGGAGGGUGCUAGCGUUGUUCGGAAUCACUGGGCGUAAAGGGCGCGUAGGCGGCCGCCCGCGUCGGACGUGAAAGCCCGGGGCUCAACCCCGGAACGGCGUCCGAUACGGGGCGGCUCGAGGCCGGGAGAGGGGGGUGGAAUACCCAGUGUAGAGGUGAAAUUCGUAGAUAUUGGGUGGAACACCGGUGGCGAAAGCGGCCCCCUGGCCCGGUCCUGACGCUGAGGCGCGAAAGCGUGGGGAGCAAACAGGG
rnacentral:rRNA from 1 species